rnacentral:rRNA from 1 species
AACGAACGCUGGCGGCGCGCCUAAUACAUGCAAGUCGAGCGAGAAGACGUAGCAAUACGUUUGUAAAGCGGCGAACGGGUGAGGAAUACAUGGGUAACCUACCCUCGAGUGGGGAAUAACUAGCCGAAAGGUUAGCUAAUACCGCGUACGCUCCUUGGACUUCGGUUCAGGGAGGAAAGCGAUACCGUGGGUAUCGCGCUCUUGGAUGGGCUCAUGUCCUAUCAGCUUGUUGGUGAGGUAACGGCUCACCAAGGCUUCGACGGGUAGCUGGUCUGAGAGGACGAUCAGCCACACUGGCACUGCGACACGGGCCAGACUCCUACGGGAGGCAGCAGUAAGGAAUAUUGCGCAAUGGGCGAAAGCCUGACGCAGCGACGCCGCGGUGGGGGAGUGAAGGU